rnacentral:misc_RNA from 1 species
UGAACUCUGAUACAACCAGCAUGCUCUUUUUGGGUCCACUGGAUUCAGAACUAUUCUCUGGCCCAAAGACGCCCUGUCUGCAUACGAUGUACUCAUAAGGAGUAAGAUUCAUCCCAUCCCUCACAGCUGCCACUACAACACACUCUGCAAUCGUAUAGUACGCAGCUCUUUCACUAAGGGAUAUGGGCCUAUCAAUGAACACAACUGGUUCAUAUCCAGGUUGACCAAAAGUUUCGUUAAUUCUCUUGCAGCUUGCCUGUAUUUCAGCCUGUAUCUCCUCAAGAUC